rnacentral:rRNA from 1 species
GACAGAGGAUGCAAGCGUUAUCCGGAAUGAUUGGGCGUAAAGGCGUCUGUAGGUGGCUUUUUAAGUCCGCCGUCAAAUCCCAGGCUCAACCCUGGACAGGCGGUGGAAACUACCAAGCUGGAGUACGGUAGGGGCAGGAGGGAAUUUCCGGUGGAGCGGUGAAAUGCGUGAGAGAGUCGGAAAGAACACCAACGGCGAAAGCACUCUGCUGGCCGACACUCGACACUGGAGAGACGAAAGCUAGGGAGCGAAUGGGAUUAGAGUACCCGU